rnacentral:rRNA from 1 species
GAUGAACGCUAGCUACAGGCUUAACACAUGCAAGUCGAGGGGCAGCACAGUGUAGCAAUACACGGGUGGCGACCGGCGCACGGGUGCGUAACGCGUAUCCAACCUUCCCGUUACUCUUGGAUAGCCUUCCGAAAGGGAGAUUAAUACAAGAUGGUAUUCAAAUUCCGCAUGUUAUUUGAAUUAAAGAUUUAUCGGUAACGGAUGGGGAUGCGUGACAUUAGAUAGUAGGCGGGGUAACGGCCCACCUAGUCUACGAUGUCUAGGGGUUCUGAGAGGAAGGUCCCCCACACUGGAACUGAGACACGGUCCAGACUCCUACGGGAGGCAGCAGUGAGGAAUAUUGGUCAAUGGGCGAGAGCCUGAACCAGCCAAGUAGCGUGAAGGAAGACUGCCCUAUGGGUUGUAAACUUCUUUUGUUCGGGAAUAAAGUGCAGUAUGUAUACUGUUUUGUAUGUACCGUUCGAAUAAGCAUCGGCUAAUUCCGUG